CGGGCAUGGCCGGUCGUAUAACACAUGCAGUCAAACGGUGAAGCACGAGCUUGCUCUUGUGGAUCAGUGGCGAACGGGUGAGUAACACGUGAGCAACCUGCCCCUGACUCUGGGAUAAGCGCUGGAAACGGCGUCUAAUACUGGAUAUGUGACGUGAUCGCAUGGUCUGCGUCUGGAAAGAUUUUUCGGUUGGGGAUGGGCUCGCGGCCUAUCAGCUUGUUGGUGAGGUAAUGGCUCACCAAGGCGUCGACGGGUAGCCGGCCUGAGAGGGUGACCGGCCACACUGGGACUGAGACACGGCCCAGACUCCUACGGGAGGCAGCAGUGGGGAAUAUUGCACAAUGGGCGCAAGCCUGAUGCAGCAACGCCGCGUGAGGGAUGACGGCCUUCGGGUUGUAAACCUCUUUUAGCAGGGAAGAAGCGAAAGUGACGGUACCUGCAGAAAAAGCGCCGGCUAACUACGUGCCAGCAGCCGCGGUAAUACGUAGGGCGCAAGCGUUAUCCGGAAUUAUUGGGCGUAAAGAGCUCGUAGGCGGUUUGUCGCGUCUGCUGUGAAAUCCCGAGGCUCAACCUCGGGCCUGCAGUGGGUACGGGCAGACUAGAGUGCGGUAGGGGAGAUUGGAAUUCCUGGUGUAGCGGUGGAAUGCGCAGAUAUCAGGAGGAACACCGAUGGCGAAGGCAGAUCUCUGGGCCGUAACUGACGCUGAGGAGCGAAAGGGUGGGGAGCAAACAGGCUUAGAUACCCUGGUAGUCCACCCCGUAAACGUUGGGAACUAGUUGUGGGGUCCAUUCCACGGAUUCCGUGACGCAGCUAACGCAUUAAGUUCCCCGCCUGGGGAGUACGGCCGCAAGGCUAAACUCAAAGGAUUGACGGGGACCCGCACAAGCGGCGGAGCAUGCGAUAAUUCGAUGCACGCGAGACCUACCAGGCUGACAUAUACAGACGGGCAGAAUGUCACUCUUUGGACACUCGUAACAGUGUGCAUGGUGUCGUCAGCUCGUGUCUGAGAUGUGGGUAAGUCCGCACGAGCGCACCUCGUCUUUGUGCCAGCCGUAUGGUGGACUCUGGAUACUGCGGGCACUCGAGGAGGGGGGAUGACGUCAU
rnacentral:rRNA from 1 species